GGGGCCGACCUGGUUUCGACAGCGGCUUCGUAGUGCGUGUAAGCAUGCAGAGCGUUGGGGAUACAGCUCUUUAAUCCCGAUCUCCAGCCUUAACCGGCAACACUGAUUACGCACUUGCUGCCUAAUAGCCCAAGGCUAUGAAGCUGAUCCCGUGAAGCACAGUAGCGGGGGCAAGUACUCCUCGGGGAGGCCCGCAGCCCUCCUUCCCGAUCCAGGGGUAUCGACCAUGGGAAGCUGGCCAGCGCGGUGGUCCGGAGCGUUGGCGAGAAAACAGGACCUAAGCUGCAGGUAGGGCGUCCUUCCCCGGCCUGCUUCCGAAAACCAACGGAGGAAGAAGCAUGUGGAAAGCUCGUGGUACGGUCGUUUGGACGAGGGUUCGAAUCCCUCCGGCUCCACCU
rnacentral:tmRNA from 1 species